rnacentral:rRNA from 1 species
CACGUAGGGUGCGAGCGUUGUCCGGAAUUAUUGGGCGUAAAGAGCUCGUAGGCGGUGUGUCGCGUCGGCCGUGAAAACCUGCAGCUUAACUGUGGGCUUGCGGUCGAUACGGGCAUCACUGGAGUUCGGCAGGGGAGACUGGAAUUCCUGGUGAUAGCGGUGAAAUGCGCAGAUAUCAGGAGGAACACCGGUGGCGAAGGCGGGUCUCUGGGCCGAUACUGACGC